CUCGGGGCUGCCCCGCUGCUCGGGGAGCCCAAAACAGCCCGAGCCGAGGCUGAAAGCUGCUGGGAGCUCGCAGAUGGAGCGCUUGGACUCUCCAGCUUCUGCUCCAUCCACAUCAGCCCAGGGAUUCUCGCUGGGUAUACUGCCCUGAUCCCUGGGGAGGAGGAGAAAAGGAGAAAACAUCCCCUUGGCACCACAUUUCAUCAAGGUUCUGCUGCCAAAACUUUGUGUGUCUCCAGCUGAGCCCCCGAGGGUGCCAGGCAGUGCCAAUUUGGGGCAUCAGCAUCCUCUGGCAGCAGCCGUGGCUCUGCUCGAGCCCUGCGAGGCCAGGCUGCUUCUCUGCUGGCACCUUCCUCCUUCCCUCCCUGCUCUCCGGCUCAUCCUUCCUUUGGAGGGGCAGGGCAGCCCUGCACAUCUGCACGGCACAGCUGGCAGAGCACACCUGGACAGGAUACCCCCCCCAAACCCCUGGCUGUGCUGAUCCCACUGCAGCAGCGCUGGGAUGUUCCCGGUCCUUCCCCACCUGGGAUGUUCCUGGUCCUUCCCCCCCUGGGAUGUUCCUGGUCCUUCCCCACCAUGGGAUGUUCCCGGUCCUUCCCUUCCCUGCUCCAGGCCCUCCCCUCCCACUUUUUGUGCUCAAUUUGUAGUUUUGUGUCACUCCCCCUCCGAAAUCCCUGCUCCAGCUGAUGUUCUCUAGACCUUAAAGAAUAUUUAACCAUCUGGUAAAUUAUUUAUCCCUCGGAGGUUCGGUGCACUCAGGGCAGCUCGGGGCCCUCCUGGAGAAUUAACGAGAGCAAUAAAUCAAAGAGACAUUGGAGAAAUUUCCCAUUCCCGGGCUGAACCCCCAAAUGCCACUCGCAGGGUGGGAGCCAGGCGCUGCCACUUGCUGCUGCUACUUGUUUAGGAGCUUGUUAAAUUUAGAAGUUAAAUAGACUCCAGGAAGCGGAUGAGACACAGCAAUCGCUGGCUGAGGGGGAAAUUGGGUGGCUGCCACCUCCUAAUGCUCCUUUUGAAGGUGUUUUUUUUCCCUGGCUUUGCAAAGCUUUCCCUCUGCCACCGUCCAUGCAGCUCUGGGGGAGGAGGAGCCGAGGCUGCAGCGCCGUGCCCGGGGAUGGGGAUGAUCCCACCGGGCAGGGCUGGAUCUGGGGCUGGCAGAGGGGACAGUGCUGCCCCAGGGGCUCCUGGCAGUGCUGGGCCUGUAAAAGGCCGGUGGCUUUUCCCUGUUGUCCUUCAGGUGGGUGGGGUGGGGAUGGAGCGAGGUCUCUGCAUCCCACUGGGAUGCUCGGGAUGGUCCUGCACUACUCAGGUGUCUCCUGGCCAAGGGAUCCCAAGGACACGUCCCCUCCUGAGAGCCCCAGGAAAGGAUUUGGGUCAGAAGGAGGUCCAGGGAGGAGAAAUCCAGCACGGGGUUUUGCCCACAGCACAGAUCACAGCUGUGACAGCUUUCCCUCCACCACCAAACCCUUCUGCUCCUCCUGCACCCUCCAGCUCUCAGUCAUCGCUGGGGGGAGAGGAGGAGUGGGCAGCCUGUGCAGGAAAUCGCCAGGAGUCUGUUUUCUGCCCAUUUGUCAGUCUGAUGAACAAGAAAAAUAUGGGCAAGCUGGGUGAAGGAGAAAUGGAGAGUCUGGAGGAGGCUGGAGUGCGCUUCUCCACCGCCAGGAGCAGCCCCAGUUAUCCACCUACAUGCGAGGGGCCGGGAUUUUGCUGA
ensembl:lncRNA